rnacentral:tRNA from 1 species
UCCUCGUUAGUAUAGUGGUGAGUAUCCCCGCCUGUCACGCGGGAGACCGGGGUUCAAUUCCCCAACGGGGAG